AGAGUUUGAUCCUGGCUCAGGAUGAACGCUGGCGGCGUGCUUAACACAUGCAAGUCGAACGAAGCACUUUAGAUGAUCCCUUCGGGGUGAAAGUAUUGUGACUGAGUGGCGGACGGGUGAGUAACGCGUGGGUAACCUGCCUCAUACAGGGGGAUAACAGUUGGAAACGGCUGCUAAUACCGCAUAAGCGCACAGGACCGCAUGGUCCGGUGUGAAAAACUCCGGUGGUAUGAGAUGGACCCGCGUCUGAUUAGCUAGUUGGCGGAGUAACGGCCCACCAAGGCGACGAUCAGUAGCCGACCUGAGAGGGUGACCGGCCACAUUGGGACUGAGACACGGCCCAAACUCCUACGGGAGGCAGCAGUGGGGAAUAUUGCACAAUGGGCGAAAGCCUGAUGCAGCGACGCCGCGUGAACGAAGAGGUAUUUCGGUAUGUAAAGUUCUAUCAGCAGGGAAGAAGAAUGACGGUACCUGACUAAGAAGCACCGGCUAAAUACGUGCCAGCAGCCGCGGUAAUACGUAUGGUGCAAGCGUUAUCCGGAUUUACUGGGUGUAAAGGGAGCGCAGGCGGUACGGCAAGUCUGAUGUGAAAGCCCGGGGCUCAACCCCGGUACUGCAUUGGAAACUGUCGAACUAGAGUGUCGGAGGGGUAAGUGGAAUUCCUAGUGUAGCGGUGAAAUGCGUAGAUAUNAGGAGGAACACCAGUGGCGAAGGCGGCUUACUGGACGAUAACUGACGCUGAGGCUCGAAAGCGUGGGGAGCANACAGGAUUAGAUACCCUGGUAGUCCACGCUGUAAACGACGAAUACUAGGUGUUGGGGAGCAUUGCUCUUCGGUGCCGUCGCAAACGCAGUAAGUAUUCCACCUGGGGAGUACGUUCGCAAGAAUGAAACUCAAAGGAAUUGACGGGGACCCGCACAAGCGGCGGAGCAUGUGGUUUAAUUCGAAGCAACGCGAAGAACCUUACCAAGUCUUGACAUCCUUCUGACCGGCACGUAACGGUGCCUUCUCUUCGGAGCAGGAGUGACAGGUGGUGCAUGGUUGUCGUCAGCUCGUGUCGUGAGAUGUUGGGUUAAGUCCCGCAACGAGCGCAACCCUUAUCUUUAGUAGCCAGCGGAGAAGCCGGGCACUCUAGAGAGACUGCCAGGGAUAACCUGGAGGAAGGCGGGGAUGACGUCAAAUCAUCAUGCCCCUUAUGACUUGGGCUACACACGUGCUACAAUGGCGUAAACAAAGGGAAGCAGAGCCGUGAGGCCGAGCAAAUCUCAAAAAUAACGUCUCAGUUCGGACUGUAGUCUGCAACCCGACUACACGAAGCUGGAAUCGCUAGUAAUCGCAGAUCAGAAUGCUGCGGUGAAUACGUUCCCGNGGUCUUGUACACACCGCCCGUC
rnacentral:rRNA from 1 species